GGACUACUAGGGUUUCUAAUCCCGUUCGCUCCCCUGGCUUUCGCGCUUCAGCGUCAGUGUCGGCCCAGCAACCCGCCUUCGCCGCAGGUGUUCCUCUCGAUAUCUACGCAUUUCACCGCUACACCGAGAAUUCCAGUUGCCCCUUCCGCACUCUAGCCCUGCAGUAUCAGUUGACCUUUCCGAGUUAAGCCCGGAGAUUUCACAACUGACUUGCAGAGGCCGCCUACGCGCCCUUUACGCCCAGUAAAUCCGAACAACGCUUGCUCCCCCCGUAUUACCGCGGCGGCUGGCAC
rnacentral:rRNA from 1 species